CUUCAACAUUGCAGAGAUGCCCUCGGUGUCUGCUAGAUGGCAGCAGAUUCUACACAAGGUGUCUGAAAAUGCUCAGCGUUUCAUCAAGACGUGGCUGUUGAAGUUUGUUGGCCUCAAUGGAGGUUAGGGAUCUGGGCAGCCCACUGUCAUUGCCUCAUCUUCUGCUGCAGCCUCUGAAUCAUCGCCCAACCUCUGCUUCCCUGGCCAGUAUGCCCAUAGAGCCUUGCUGAACUCGCCUCCUAGAUUGGGCUGCAUUGCUGAACUGCCGUAACUUGAAAAGCCGAACUGA